AGUUUGAUCCUGGCUCAGAACGAACGCUGGCGGCAGGCCUAACACAUGCAAGUCGAACGCUCUCUUCGGAGAGAGUGGCAGACGGGUGAGUAACACGUGGGAAUCUACCUAGUGGUACGGAAUAACUCAAGGAAACCUGAGCUAAUACCGUAUACGCCCUCCGGGGGAAAGAUUUAUCGCCAUUAGAUGAGCCCGCGUCGGAUUAGCUUGUUGGUGAGGUAACGGCUCACCAAGGCUUCGAUCCGUAGCUGGUCUGAGAGGAUGAUCAGCCACACUGGGACUGAGACACGGCCCAGACUCCUACGGGAGGCAGCAGUGGGGAAUAUUGGACAAUGGGCGCAAGCCUGAACCAGCAAUGCCGCGUGAGUGAUGAAGGCCUUCGGGUUGUAAAGCUCUGUCAGGGGGAACGAAAAAGUCGGUUCGCCGGCUUCUGACGGUACCCCCAAAGGAAGCACCGGCUAACUCUGUGCCAGCAGCCGCGGUAAUACAGAGGGUGCAAGCGUUGUUCGGAAUUACUGGGCGUAAAGAGCGUGUAGGCGGCUUGAUAAGUCGGACGUGAAAUCCCUCGGCUCAACCGAGGAACUGCGUCCGAUACUGCCAAGCUAGAGUCCCGGAGGGGGUGGCGGAAUUCCCGGUGUAGAGGUGAAAUUCGUAGAUAUCGGGAGGAACACCUGUGGCGAAGGCGGCCACCUGGAAGACGACUGACGCUGAGACGCGAAAGCGUGGGGAGCAAACAGGAUUAGAUACCCUGGUAGUCCACGCCGUAAACGAUGAGUGCUAGGUGUUGCGGGUAUUGACCCUCGCAGUGCCAAAGCUAACGCGUUAAGCACUCCGCCUGGGGAGUACGGUCGCAAGAUUAAAACUCAAAGGAAUUGACGGG
rnacentral:rRNA from 1 species